rnacentral:rRNA from 1 species
GGCGCACGGGUGCGUAACGCGUAUGCAACCUACCUUUCACAGGGGGAUAGCCCGAAGAAAUUUGGAUUAAUACCCCAUAAUAUUGUUGGAUGGCAUCAUCUGGCAAUUAAAACUGCGGUGGUGAAAGAUGGGCAUGCGUCCUAUUAGCUAGUUGGAGUGGUAACGGCGCCCCAAGGCUACGAUAGGUAGGGGUCCUGAGAGGGAGAUCCCCCACACUGGUACUGAGACAGGGACCAGACUCCUACGGGAGGCAGCAGUGAGGAAUAUUGGUCAAUGGUCGGAAGACUGAACCAGCCAUGCCGCGUGCAGGAAGAAUGCCUUAUGGGUUGUAAACUGCUUUUAUAUGGGAAGAAUAAGGUGUACGUGUACAUUGAUGACGGUACCAUAUGAAUAAGCAUCGGCUAACUCCGUGCCAGCAGCCGCGGUAAUACGGAGGAUGCGAGCGUUAUUCGGAAUCAUUGGGUUUAAAGGGUCUGUAGGCGGGCUAUUAAGUCAGGGGUGAAAGGUUUCAGCUUAACUGAGAAAUUGCCUUUGAUACUGGUAGUCUUGAAUAUCUGUGAAGUUCUUGGAAUGUGUAGUGUAGCGGUGAAAUGCUUAGAUAUUACACAGAACACCGAUUGCGAAGGCAGGGGACUAACAGACAAUUGACGCUGAGAGACGAAAGCGUGGGGAGCGAACAGGAUUAGAUACCCUGGUAGUCCACGCUGUAAACCAUGGAUACUAGCUGUUUGGCGCAAGCCCAGUGGCUNAACGAAAGUGAUAAGUAU